CAAUGAGCAGCUGCUUAGUGGCGGGAGGGCGGGGUACCCUGGCGGCUCUCCGCUCGCUCUGGCGCUCUGCUCUUUCCGGUCAUGGAGACGCUAGCCACCCGCUUGUUUUUGCUCCUGUGGCUAGGGGCCUGGGCGCCCGCCCCGGGCAGCGCCUCCUCCGAGGUACCCUCGCUGAUCAACGAGGAGGUGAAGCGCACAGUGGACCUAAGCAGCCACCUGGCAAAGGUGACGGCCGAGGUGGUCCUGGCGCACCUGGGCAGCGGCUCCACUUCCCGAGCUACCUCUUUCUUACUGGCUUUGGAGCCCGAUCUCGAGGCUCGGCUGGCGCAUCUGGGCGUGCAGGUGAAGGGAGAAGAUGAGGAAGAGAACAAUUUGGAAGUACGUGAAACCAAAAUUAAGGGUAAAAGUGGGAAAUUCUUCACAGUCAAGCUCCCAGUUGCCCUUGAUCCUGGGGCCAAGAUUUCAAGUCAUUGUGGAGACAGUCUACACCCCAUGUGCUUCAGCCCGUAUUCCAACCCAGAUCACCCAGUCAGAGAAACAGUUUGUGGUGUUUGAGGGGAACCAUUAUUUCUACUAUCCCUAUCCAACGAGACACAAACCAUGCGUGUGAAGCUUGCCUCCCGAAACGUGAGAGCUACACCAAAGCUGGGGAACCCCACACGCUCUGAGGACCAUGCUGGAUUAUGGGCCUUUUCAGAGAUGUCCCUGCCUAUAGUCAUG